ACGUGGGGCUUGAACUCAUGAACCGUGAGAUCAUGACCUGAGCCGAAGUCAGACACUUAACUGACUGAGCCACCCAGGCAACCCUAGAAGAUACUAACUCUUACUUAAACUUCUCUCAUUUCUUUUCCAUGGAAAGUUCAAAAUUCUAAAAUUCAAGAUGUUAAAACGUUAGAGAUUUAAAUUUGUCCAUUUUUUUUUCAUGGAUAAAGCAUAUUAAAUUCUGCUCUCGGCAUAGAAUUCAAUUCAGCAAGCAUUUGUUAAAAAAUUAAUAUUUAAACAUUUAAAAAUUUAAAAUUUAUGAAAACCUUUCACUCAUUCUUUCUGUCAUAUUAAAUCCCAGUUUUUCUUUCUGCUUUCGAAUGCUCUCCAAAGUCAGGCAGCUGUUAUCUGCAGUUUUAUUCUUCAAUGAAAAUUUUCUCAAAAAAAAAAGAAAAGAAAAGAAAAGGAAAAAAUUGUCAGUCAAGUAGCACAGUGGAUAAGGGGAAAGUCUUGGGGCCAGUGGGCUUGGGUUCAAAUCUAGUACUUUCUGUGUAACCAGGAACAAUAUACCCAGCCUCUGUACGCCUCAGUUUUCUCAUCUGAAAAUGGGGCUCCAUUAAGAAUUACUUCACUGGGUUGCUAGAAAGAGUAAAUAUGCAGUUUGUUAAGCACUUAACAAAGAGCCUGAUGCUUGGUUAACACGCUCAGUAAUUCUAGGUGACUUCCAAUGCAUCAUCUUUGCAAGAGAUUUUCUAGGAAAUAGAAGAUGAGUUUUGGUGUUAUUAAGGUGGGAACUAGGUACUGUGAAAUUAUUUUCCAAGAAUACAUGUCAAUAUACAUGCUUGACAGCAGUAUAAGUAGGUUCCCAUCUCUCUCAUUGUUGCUGGUGCUUUCUACUGUCAGAUCAGGCCUGCCCAGCGCACGAGGACACGUCCCCACAUACUAAAUAUCUCCCUAUUUAAAAGUUUGGAGUUAAGAUACGAAGCAUCUAAGUAAAACUUGGACAUCUUGGAUAUCUUAGAUAGCAUCUUCCUCUGGAGAAUAUGGCUUCAUACUGACCUGGAGAACCAGAUGUGAACUUAGAAUUCUGAUUCCUUGGAGUUCUGUGCUAUGACGUGGCAACACGGAGCAUCGAUGGUGUCCUUGGCCUCUUCCUAUCCUCUUGUCCAACCCCCAGCUCCAUCCUGCACUGCCAGAGGCCUUGCACGCACACGCGCAGGUCCCCGCCCAGCCACGCCUCUUAGGGUACCACACACCCAGGGACGUGUGGUCUGCUCUCAGGAGGACAGCCCCAGGGAAGAGGUCCGUGCAGGUUCUAGAAGCAGACUUCUCUGGAUAGGGUAGGGGUCUGGGUACCCCAAGGUGGGGGGGGGGCACGGUGUCUCUGAACACAUCUGUUGGCUCCGUGGACUUUUUCUCCGCUGGAGCUGGUGGAGGGCCACGGUGGGCCCCCAGAGCUGUGAUGCUUGGUGAACUUAGAGCUUUUGUCCAUCAGAGGGUGCACAAUAGUAUCUCCUUGUUUUCAUUUGCGUAAUUCUGAUUAUUAGGAGGUUGAGAAAUUUUUCAUACAUUUUUGGAAUUUUUCUAUUGAGCUGAUGUUUUCCCUAUAGACUAAGUCUCUAUAUUUUUAUUUAUUUAUUUAUUUAUUUAUUUAUUUAUUUAUUUAUUUAGAGACCUAGAGAGCCAGCGGGGCUGAGAGGGGCACAGAGAGAGAGAGAGAGAGAGAGAGAGAGAGAGAGAGAAUUCCAAGCAGCCUCAGUGCUGUCAGUUAACAGCCCAUAUGGGGCUCGAUCUCACAAACCAUGGGAUCAUAACCCGAGCCAAGACCUGGCCUCCUAACCAACUGAGCCACCGAGGCGCCCUCUCUACAUGUUUUGAAUACAUAAAGAUACUUCAUCUCUUAAUAAGUAUCGCCACUUUCUCCUCUCAGACUGGACUUUGUCUUUUGACAGGCAUUUUAAAUUUUGAUGAUGUCAGAUUUAUCACUUUUUUCCUUGUGAUUUUUGUUUAAGGAAUCUCAUUAUUCUGAGGCUGUAAAAAUAUUAUUCUAUUUUUUUUUUCCUAAAGAUUUUACUUCCAUCUGGGUCUUUAAUCUAUCUGGAAUUUAUCUAAGGCCUUUACGUGGAUUUUCACAUUUAAUCCUGGCAGCCAUCUGUGAGUUAGGCACUCUUAUUUCCUAGUGAUUUCUUAUUUCCAGAUGAUUUGAAAGCUCAGAGGGGUUAAAUGACUUGCCCAAAGUCACACAGCUGGUGAGGGCAGAGCCAUGAGUGGAUUUCAGGUUGCAAUGUGCUGGGACACGCACAGGAUUAUUAAAACUCUGGGGAUUUCUAGGGAGAACGAUCCAGGAAGUAAGGGUGAUGGGAAUUUUGAUUGGACAGCCAGCUCUCAUGGACCAACAGGUAAAGCCAUACAGAGGAUUGUCUCUCUCCCUCUCUCUCUCGCCCUUCCCCCACUUGCUCUCUAUCUCUCAAAAUAAAUCAGUUAAAAAGGACAAACAACCAUAUAGAGACCCAGUCAAUAAGGAAAACAUCAACUCAGUAGGGCCUCGUGGAGACUGCAACACAGCUUAGGAAUUGCAUGGUUGUUACAGUUUAUCUACUAAACGCUUCCACAGCGUGUUACGUGCCAGUAAUUGCUCUAAGCAUUGCAUAAAUAUUGACUCAUUUAACUUUUAUAACAACCCUAUGAGGCAGGUACUGUUAUGUGUCCAUUUUCCAGAUGGGAAAAACUGAGGCACAGUCAGGAACUUACACAAGGUCACACAGCCCCCGCUGGGUGGCAGGACCAGGAUUCAAACCGAGGUUGUCUAGUUCCAAGUCUGAGCGCGCAGUCACGGCUGUGCUAAAGACGGAUGUGGCCCCGCGGACCGUAUGGGGCCCCUCCACCAGCUGUGUCCUUCAUGCCAGGCUUCAGAGCUGUGCCUUUUGCUCAUGCCCUUUGUCCCUGCUUCUACUGCUCUGCAGCCGUUAACUGCCUCUUUCUCUGUGUCUCAAGGGCAACUUCCCCAAAGAGGAGACCUGGUCUUCAUCCAAUACAGACAUCUGUCUUAGCCAAGCUCCCGAGCCAAGCUAUCUCUGGGUAGCCAGGAGAUUGGCUGUUUUUAGGUGAGGUCCCCAAACAUUCAUGGUCUAACCAGAUACUGUUACGGUGGUGGGGUCCUGAGGUCCAGCUCAUGCCCUAACUGGGCGGCAGGGUGGGGAUAUGGCACUUCUGUCACAAUGGGGCUGUGGCAUGGCAGGAUUUGGGAGUGCAAUCAAUUUGUCCCUGGGACCCAGGCAUGAGUGAAGCAUAGGGCUCAGUGCCAGCCCGGAAGCAGGACUAAAUCCUCCCGAGGGCAUCCAGCGUCUCGUCCUGAUGUGGUCUGUGAUUUUCCUAAGUGUUCCACAAUCGUGCUCCACAACUAAACAUGAAGACCACCUUGCCUUUCUGCUGUACAUCUCUGACUUGGUGUAUACAGCUCAUCUGUAAAAUGUGGUAAGUUGUUGAGAAUCGUCGAGGCAAAAGCUCAUCACAACUGUGAAGAAAUUCCUUCUUACGAACUUUCUCGUCCUCUUAAUUGGCAGGAAGAACAUAACAAUCCCAAUGAAAGGAAACAGAUGUCGUUGCUUUGAGCAUUUCCAAAGGAAACUGCAGUAAAAUAUGAAGCAUCACCGUAUAAAAGCCUGCUGUGCAGCGGAGAUGUGCUGAUAUUGUUUUCAUUUGCCAGCUGUGUGUAAGUGGAGUUGGUGCCUCUGGCCAACACAGCCCCCACAUCAGAGUCAUAACAACGACAAAGUCAUGGAAACGUUUCGGGGAGAAACUCAAACCGCUUCUCAGCGCGCUCGGCUUUCCUUUUAACGAAAAGCCACGUAAAAGAAGUGAGUCCGAAGGAGGACGUGAGGGCUGGCAAUUAAAAGUGAUUUAUAAAACCCCCAGGAGGGGGAAAGAGGGUCAUCGGGAAGAACGAUCUUUGGCGAUCAAUUUAUAAGCCCAGCUAGCAGGCGAAGAACUCUGGUUCACCCUUGACAGUGAGCGAGAGCCAGUAUUUGUUUCAGGGAGGGCUUGUCGCUCAGGCUCACUUCAGUCAGAGCCUCUGCGGAUGACCCUCCUGUUCGACCUUCUGUGUUCAGGGCGUCGGACUCCUUCCCCGGUGGCUUGAUGUCCUAGGACGUCCUCUGCCAGUGCAUCUGGGAAGGGGAGGCUUUUUCCUUCUCCCAAGUCAGGGGAGGAAGUCACUUCCUGAGCCUUGAACAGCUUCAUGAGCCUGGCAUGCGUAUGAGAACAGAACCUAGCAAUCUGAGACGGGAAAAUGACGGCUUGCACAACUGUGGCUUGAAACCACAACUGGUGAUUUUGUCAGCACAAGGGGCUCCUGGGACUCGGGCCCGGCGUGGCAGGGAGCUGAGACCGCUGAGGCAUUCACUCCCAGUACUUCCAGGAUGGGAUCUUAAAGAGCGGACUGAAAAAAGUGUUUUGUGGUGGCCACAUGGCCUUGAACUCUGGAUUAAAAAAGAAAGUAAAGGGAAUUUGGGAUCUGAGGAUGAGCCCAGGAUCGGAGCAUCCACAGAAGGUCUUUGUUCAGGUGAUCCUUUUCUAGAAAUGGGAUGUCCAACUGACCAGCACAGACCCGGGUUCUCUCUCCGAUCCUGUCUGCAAGAAUAUCCACAGCUCUAACGUGUUGGUGGGUACGUACCAUGAGCUCAGAAAUUGUGGUUGAUUUAAUAAAUGAAAAAUCAAAUCCUGGUACAACUGGGAAUUGCUCUGGUCCCCUGGGUCAACAUGACAUGACCCAGUAGUGUAGCUCUCUUGCACUAUAUGUUGCUUUCCACGAGUGCAGAGUUUGUGACUUCUCAGCCUGUGGAGAGCAUAGUUCCAUGCCUUGUGUGUGCCUGGCCCAGAUCCACGUUAAACUGACUUGAGUUUAUACGGAAGUGACCAUUCAUUAGGGAGUAACAUUUCCUUGUCCAGACAAAUGAAGGAAGAGGCUCUGACACUUGCCUGUGAUGUAUAAUUGCACCUGACUCAUUAACUGGACAUUGCAAUGCUGGGGAGACUGAAGCAAGGUUCAGCUACUUGUAAUGAGAAUGGAUCCACUAAGCCCUGUGAGAACGGCAGGUCUGUGGGCCACAGGGGGUCCGCUUUGUGCUACUCAACGCUCAGCUCAGGAAGCAUCUAUCUACCUGCCUCCCAGUGUACCAUUGCUCAGAUGGUCAGGUGCAUUCGGGGAAUUUUCACCUCCCCCGCCAGCACUGUAAUGGCAGGUGCAGAGCAGACCUGGUCAGUUCCUCCAUUUGGGUCCUGGGUCGAUGCUGACUGUCCUUCAGAAGGUCUGUGCAGUUUUGCUGCCUGAGGACACCCUGUGCGCAGUGCCCUUUUCCCUAGGUGUACAUGGAAAGGAGGUUGUACAAAGACCCAGAGAGUAGAGGCUCUGAUUUGUGGCGUUCUCAAGGGCAAGCCUGCACCUUGACAGCUUCCAGGUGUUGAGAAUCAAGUUCUUCGGAGUCACCAUCUCUCGUCCUUUUCAGCUAUGCAAGCCACAAUCCUGCCAUCUGGCCUUGGGGCAGAAUCGAAAGAGAACUCUGCCUGAAGACGCAAGGCAGACUAGGACUCACAUUUAUAUUAAAUGAUGAAGAAACAGAAGUGCCAAGAACGUUAGUGAUUUGUCCAGGGAACCACAGAAGUAAAGCGAGGGUUGUAAUUCAAGCCUUCCAACUGAAGUUCGGUGAGCUUUUAUUUUUUCCCUUCCCACUGCUGAUUUUAUCGUGGAGAUGAUACGAAAACAGCGAAGGCUGCUUUGAGAAGAAUCGCCCGUCACUGCAUUGGUAUAACUGUUGCCCGUUUCCUCCCCGAUCUGUCCUCAGUGCGUUUUCUUUGUCACAUGGCUUCAAUCCCAGUGCGCUUGCACUGUCCCCACUUACCGCAAGGCCCCCUAGGCUAGUAAAUUCUGUUGACUUUGGUAUUUCUGGUACAAAUAGCAAACCACCAGGGUCUGUAGGUCAGGAAUUCCCUUAUUAUCGAUACCAGUGGACAUUUAGAAAGAAAAAGGCAGCCGUUUGCUCAAAUCUAAAAAUCACUUUGACACUGUGUAACAGAAACCGCUGGGACGAGCACUUACCUCCCAAAACUACAUUUUGAAGUCAAUGCCAUGCUUUUGCUGGGGUGAAUGGAUGGGUGACUGUGCAGUGGGUGCAUUGCAGCAUAUCUCUGUUAACGGGCUUUUCUUUGGAUAGAGUAACGGAGGUGAAAACUUCGCAGCUCCAUAUUGAGUGCCUGCCAGAUCCCUCUUUAGCUAUAAAUGCCCAGAGUAGGUGGGGCAGAUGGCUAUGGAGACACAGGCUUGAAGUCACAUGAUAAAUCAAUCAAGGGCCCAGAGAACAAAGUCCACUUUUCCUGAUCCCAGAGGCACUGUGUUAGGUCAGGUGCAUGGUGCUGCUUUCCAGAUGACUGCACAGUCCGUGUGGGCCCCUCCGUGAGCAUGUCCCUCUCCUGGAUGGUGAACGAGACAGGAGCGAUGACCCACAACCAACAGAUGGAGUGUUUGGGGAGCACGUCCAGUAGGAGCAGCUCUCUUGGCUCCCAGCUUGGGACUUCAGGUCACAGUGACAACUGCGUGUGGAGGAAAAGGCGACCACACCCUGCUCUCCCAUCCCUCGGACAAAAUUCCAGCUCGCGUUGCUCACCUCCCGGAUGAUCUGUCAACGGCCUUUCGGGAACCUGAAUGACCAUAGCGUCAGACAGAAGAGCUUCGUGUUGGGACUGGAGGCGCAUCAGAGAGUCUGGGACCCCUGUGCCACUUAUGCCGGAGAGGAUGCGACUAGUGCCACAAGAAAAUGCCUCAGAUCCAACGAUGUUGACAAACUAAUUCCUUAAAAAAUAGAUGGUGUCUUCUUUGGGACAUAAGACAUCUUAGAUGCGGUGUCGAGUAGUAUUUUGGAUCUUUAUUUUUGUUUGUAAACUCUUCUUCCACAUGUGGUUUUCGGUCUACUUACAAAGAUCUUACGAUGCAGAAGAAAAAGCAGUUGUGAGCGUUAGAGGGGACAUAAAACAAAGGGUCAAAUCAGCGAUGCGGAAACCAGGAAAGGGCCAAUGCCUGCCUACUUACCGACGGACGAACACAGAGCAGCAGCCAUCAGUGGGCAUGUGACUCCCAAGGCGGAGGUCUCCUCGGCUCUGUUGGUGAGCUUGUUGGACACCCGCCUACAUUUGCCUAUGGAAUUUUUUCAGAAAGGACAGAAAUACUCCCACCUGUACCCUCACUGCUAGACUACACCUGUUGUUCUGGACUGCAGCUGGAGUUGGAAAGGAAAUUUAUUUCCACGAAUGGAGAAGUGUCAGAGUGAGCGGGCACGUGGCAGUGGAAGCAUGGGAAUAGUCUCACGAGAAUAACAUCAGAGCACAAUGAUGGUCAGAGACUUUAGAAGAUAAACCAACCAAGCAAACAUAUAGAAGUUACAUGUGCUGUUAGUGCAGAAGCUUCCAGAUGGAUGCAAGAAUCAAAGGCUUCCAGAAGCUCAUGUUAUUUCCUACAAAUAAUUUGGAUGACACUGAGACAGAUGUGCAACACAGCAGUGUGGGGUGGGAGGUCUGGGUCCUGUUCCAGCUUUGUCUCCUGUUAAAUGUCUCACCCUGGGUAAGUCAUUUAUUCUCUAGGUGUUUCAGUUUGGUCAUCUUUAAGAUGGGAUAACUGUAUCCACUUCUGUUGAACAGAGUCAGAGUGAGGACAUAUGUAUUUUGGUGUGUUCACAUAUAUAAGGCUGGAGAGAAAGUGGUUAAGAGGAAGCCUUUGGCCAGUGGCCUGGGCAGUUCAGUUGGCAUCUUCAGGUAUAAAUGGAGUUACUUGAAGGUCUUCCAAGUGUUUCCCUCCACAAACAUAACCUUUCCACCUUUAGAUUCUUUUUUCAGGAUCCCAUAGGAAAUUUGUGUAUUUCAUGGGUUGUUGACCCAAUGGAGUAAGAUUUCUAUUUCAAUUUAUCCCUGUUCCACUUAUGCUAAAACUCAAGUUUAGAUUGCUACUAGCUUAGAUUCAGUUAGAAUCUGUAAGUCAGAAUGCCUUUUUGGAACAUAAUGUCAUGGGUAGGAGUUUUCAGAUGAGCACAUCUUCUGUGAUUGUACAGCAUAGUCCACAGUUCACUGACCCACAUCAGCACAGAUUUGGUUACCUUUUGAUGCUUCAGGGCAUGUGGCCUUUUAGGAGAGAAAUGAAGCGCUCAAGUGAGAGGUGUAGCAUAAAUAAGUUGUUGUGGAGAGUAGGGUGGGAGGG